ACAUUUUUGGUUGGUUUACAUGUUUGGUUGGCUUUUAAUGCAGUGUUUUAUGUAUAUUUGUUUGUAAUCACUUGUGAUCAUUAUUGGACUCCCUACACUGGGAGAAAGGAGGCUCAUAUAGAAAAUAAUUUAAGUGACAAUAAAUAAAACCUUUUAAGGUUCCAACCAGGGAGAUAAGCGGAAACUGUUUGUGCUCUUUUCCCAGUUCCAACAUUUGGAGGAAGCCUGGACUUUAUUCUGUUCUUUCAGGUAGCUCAGCAGACCCAGUAAACAGAAGAACCACUCCACUGCUUAAUGUGUGAGAGCUUAGGAGGCUGUAAUAUAAGGUACUUGAAUUACAUAACCUGGUGAAUGGUCUGGGAGCACCUCAUUUUGCAAACUGUAUCAACACUCCAAACUAGAUGUGCAGCACUGCAGGAGGGAAGAGGAGACAAAUAUACAUGCAUCUGUUCCUGUGUCCAAGCUGGAUAGCUUUGAUUAAGGUGAUUUACAAUUCUGAAUAGUCUGAUUAAAGUGAUUUGGAUUAAAGGUGAAGUGUUUCAUGCAUCUGGUUGUUUGUGGCAAUCCUAAUUUGUCCAUAUUAAGAACUCAAUAAAAUUAAAAGGACAUACUUUCA
rnacentral:lncRNA from 1 species